rnacentral:rRNA from 1 species
AACGAACGCUGGCGGCGUGGCUAAGACAUGCAAGUCAAACGGACCAUUAAUUUAUUAAUGGUUAGUGGCGAAAGGGUUAGUAAUGGAUAGGUAACGUACCCUGUGCUUCGGGAUAGCGUCAGAAAACUUCGGUUUUCAUCCGAAAGGGGCGGUAAUACCGGAAAUACCAUUUGUCGCAGGGCAAAUGCUCAAAGAUUUAUCGGCAAAGGAGCGGCCUAUCUCCUAUCAGCUUGUUGGUGGGGUAAAAGCUCACCAAGGCUCUGACGGGUAGCGGGACUGAGAGGUUGACCCGCAACAUCGGGACUGAGACACUGCCCGGACCUCCACGGAGGGCUGCAGUAACGAAUAUUGCGCAAUGGGCGAAAGCCUGACGCAGCGACGCCGCGUGCGGGAGGAAGUCCUUCGGGAUGUAAACCGCUGUCAGGGAGAAGAAAGUACGCUUCGGCGUAUUGAUCUAACUCAAAGGAAGUCACGGCUAACUUCGUGCCAGCAGCCGCGGUAAGACGAAGGUGGCAAGCGUUGUUCGGUGUUACUGGGCUUAAAGCGUGUGUAGGCGGAAAGGUAAGCGUCUUGUGAAAUCCCCCGGCUUAACCGGGGAAUUGCUGGGCGUACUGCUUUUCUUGAGGCAAGUAGGGGUGCAUGGAACUCUUGGUGGAGCGGUGGAAUGCGUAGAUAUCAAGAGGAACGCCAGUGGAGAAAUCGGUGCACUGGGCUUGUCCUGACGCUGAGACACGAAAGCGUGGGGAGCGAACGGGAUUAGAUACCCCGGUAGUCCACGCUGUAAACGAUGUCUACUAGGUUGUGGAGGUUCUGACAUCUGCACGACCGAAGCAAAAGUGUUAAGUAGACCGCCUGGGGAGACGGUCGCAAGGCU